rnacentral:snoRNA from 1 species
UAACAAUGAUGUGGGAAGUCUUUAAGUAAUUUCUUGUACCUUUCCCAAGCUUGUCGGAGAGUCUCUCCAUCUUGUUGUUGAAACCCCAGAAUCUGGCUCUUCAGUGA